UACAGAGGGUGCGAGCGUUAAUCGGAAUUACUGGGCGUAAAGCGUGCGUAGACGGUUAUCUAAGUCGGAUGUGAAAGCCCCGGGCUCAACCUGGGAACUGACGUCCGAUACUGGAUGGCUUGAAUCCGGGAGAGGGAUGCAGAAUUCCAGGUGUAGCGGUGAAAUGCGUAGAUAUCUGGAGGAAUACCGGUGGCGAAGGCGGCAUC
rnacentral:rRNA from 1 species